UUUCCGAUGCAUCGCAGCCCCUAAAUAAUUAGAAAGAGAUUGGGCUCGGAUUUAUUUUGCAUAGCCUAAUGCUAAUUAUUUUAAUGGCCCAAAACCAUUUAAUUCAUUAGCCCAAAGCUUAAGCCCAAAUUAAAGAAACCCUAUGUAAAACUAAGUCUUCUUCCUUCCUCCCUCAUUCUCCAAAAAGAACGACAACCUUUCUCUCCCACUUGGACUCCGCCGCCACCAUCCUCACUGCAGCCACUCGCAAGCGCCGCCGCUCCGGCGGCGUUCCCUCUCCUCCCUCGCGUCUCUCUCCCUCUUUUCUUUCUCUUCUCUCUCUCUCAGCCUCACGCCGUCGCGCCGCCAUCCCCCAUCUGUCUUCCCAGAUUCGCCGCCGCGGCUUCGUCAUCGUCUUCCCGGAAGUCUGGCGUCUGCACGCUCCAUCUCUCUCUCGGUCAGUCCCUCUCUCUCUCUCCUCUCCCUCUUUUCUCCCCUUCUCACACCACCGCCGCCGCCGCUGCUGUGCGCGCGGCGGUUCACCGUCCGUCUAUCUCUCUCGGUCCCGCUGUCAACACCGAUCACCGCCGUCGCCCUCCUCUCUUUCCAGAUCUGCCGCCCUUCUCUCAACGAUCCGCUGUCUCCGGUUAGCCGGCGAGCUCUCCCUCUCCGCACCAGUUCACCGACACCCCCCCUAAGGCAAGGGUCUGGAAGCAACCCGGUUCAAGCUCGUGGCUGUCCGCGUUGUAGUACCCGAUUUUUCUUAGAACGCACGAUGUAUAGCUUAAAUUUUGUUGGACUUUUGUUGGAUGUACCGGGCAUUAAAAUUUUGAUUACGAGCCUUAUUUAUUAUUUAUUUAAAUUUAUUAUAUUGUGAAA